GAUGAACGCUGGCGGCGUGCCUAAUACAUGCAAGUCGAGCGAACGGACGAGAAGCUUGCUUCUCUGAUGUUAGCGGCGGACGGGUGAGUAACACGUGGAUAACCUACCUAUAAGACUGGGAUAACUUCGGGAAACCGGAGCUAAUACCGGAUGAUAUUUUGAACCGCAUGGUUCAAAAGUGAAAGACGGUCUUGCUGUCACUUAUAGAUGGAUCCGCGCUGCAUUAGCUAGUUGGUAAGGUAACGGCUUACCAAGGCAACGAUGCAUAGCCGACCUGAGAGGGUGAUCGGCCACACUGGAACUGAGACACGGUCCAGACUCCUACGGGAGGCAGCAGUAGGGAAUCUUCCGCAAUGGGCGAAAGCCUGACGGAGCAACGCCGCGUGAGUGAUGAAGGUCUUCGGAUCGUAAAACUCUGUUAUUAGGGAAGAACAUAUGUGUAAAGUACUGUGCACAUCUUGACGGUACCCUAUCAGAAAGCCACGGCUAACUACGUGCCAGCAGCCGCGGUAUACGUNAGUGGCCAAGCGUUAUCCGGAUUAUUGGGCGUAAGCGCGCGUAGCGGUUUUUAAGUCUGAUGUGAAAGCCCACGGCUCAACGGUGGAGGGUCAUUGGAAACUGGAAAACUUGAGUGCAGAAGAGGAAAGUGGAAUUCCAUGUGUAGCGGUGAAAUGCGCAGAGAUAUGGAGGAACACCAGUGGCGAAGGCGACUUUCUGGUCUGUAACUGACGCUGAUGUGCGAAAGCGUGGGGAUCAAACAGGAUUAGAUACCCUGGUAGUCCACGCCGUAAACGAUGAGUGCUAAGUGUUAGGGGGUUUCCGCCCCUUAGUGCUGCAGCUAACGCAUUAAGCACUCCGCCUGGGGAGUACGACCGCAAGGUUGAAACUCAAAGGAAUUGACGGGGACCCGCACAAGCGGUGGAGCAUGUGGUUUAAUUCGAAGCAACGCGAAGAACCUUACCAAAUCUUGACAUCCUUUGACAACUCUAGAGAUAGAGCCUUCCCCUUCGGGGGGGACAAAGUGACAGGUGGUGCAUGGUUGUCGUCAGCUCGUGUCGUGAGAUGUUGGGUUAAGUCCCGCAACGAGCGCAACCCUUAAGCUUAGUUGCCAUCAUUAAGUUGGGCACUCUAAGUUGACUGCCGGUGACAAACCGGAGGAAGGUGGGGAUGACGUCAAAUCAUCAUGCCCCUUAUGAUUUGGGCUACACACGUGCUACAAUGGACAAUACAAAGGGCAGCGAAACCGCGAGGUCAAGCAAAUCCCAUAAAGUUGUUCUCAGUUCGGAUUGUAGUCUGCAACUCGACUACAUGAAGCUGGAAUCGCUAGUAAUCGUAGAUCAGCAUGCUACGGUGAAUACGUUCCCGGGUCU
rnacentral:rRNA from 1 species